GUGAAGUAAUUUUGGUUUAUUCAUAUAUCCUGACUUAAAUCAAUAAAAAAUAACGAAAUAAUGUCUAACACAAAUAGACAAUUUCUUAAUGAACCAACAAACAUCUGGCAACAGACAAAACAGCUCCUAAACAACAAUGGUUCAGGAUACGUUGUAAAGUUUGUUGUUUGUAUUAUGUGAGUGCCAAAAACACUCACUCUUUACUUUGCAUAAUUCCUUAAAGAGCAGUGUUAUGCUAAAUUUAAAUAGGAUCUAUCAUUUCUGGGGGAGCGGGGAGGGGUUGUGCAUUUUUUCAGAAACAUUGAAUCCACUUUCCCCAAAGGAGUGGAUUUAAUGGCGUAAAACAUUAUGAAAGUUAAAGAUAGCCUCUUUACAAAAGGUAAGCAUUUUUGAGGAAGACCGCUCAUUCCUCUUUUGCAGCUUAAAGCAACCUGAAUCCUUUUAGAGACAGGCCUGUGAUCGUCAACUGUUUAAAAAAAAAAAAAAAAAAAAAAUUGUACAGACUUACUGAUGUGCAAAGGCUUCAUGUUUCUAUGACACUAGCCAAAAGUAAAUAAAUGUCCGAAAGGGUUUAUUUCACUAGUUUUCCAUGGAAGAGUUGUGUUAUUGGAGAAUAUAACAGAUAAAAACAAAACAAAAAAUAGAACUUUAAACAAGAUUGGUUAGUAGCCAGUUCCUGUGUGCCAUUUUAAAGCAGCACAAUUUACUA